GUGAAUCUCGGUUUUUUUCCCAGUGUUUUUGCCCGGCUGUUUUCGGGUGAAUCUCGGGGUUUUUUUGGGUGUUUUCACCCUGGGUGUUUUGCCGUGAAUUUCGCCUUUUUCGGGUGUUUUGCCCGGCCAUUUUCGGGUGAAUCUCAUUGUUUUCGGGAGUUUUUGCCCGGCUGUUUUGGGCUGAAUCUCCUCAUUUUGGGGACUCUGAUCAGACAUUUUGGGGUUUCCCUGCCUGACAAAUCUCGGGUGUCUCUGCCCCGCUAUUUCGGGGUGUCUCUCCACAUUCACAACCAUUUGUAGGGUGUUUCUGCCUGGCUGGUUUGGGGCGCUCUGCCUCAUUUUUGGGUGUCCUUGGCCGUUUUUGGGGCAUUUUGCCUCAUUCUGGGAUAUCUCUGACCAUUUUGGGGUGGCUGUGCCAUUAUUUUGGGGCUUUCCUCCUCAUUUUGGGAUGUCUCUGUCUGGACAUUUCUGCUCUGUUGUUUUGGGCCAUUUCUUGGGAUUUCGGGGCGUCUCCGUUUUGGGGCAUUUCCGCAGGUUUUGAGGAGUUUCUCCCUGGUUAUUUCGGGGUGUCUGUGCCUCAACAUUUUGUGCCAUUUCUCUGAAUUUUGGGGUCUCCUCCUCAUUUUGGGAUGUCUCUGUCUGGACAUUUCUGCUCUGUUGUUUUGGGCCAUUUCUUGGGAUUUCGGGGCGUCUCCGUUUUGGGGCAUUUCCGCAGGUUUUGAAGAGUUUCUCCCUGCUUAUUUCGGGGUGUCUGUGCCUCAACAUUUGGGGAUAUUUCUCUGAAUUUUGGGGUGUUUGUGCCUCAUCAUUUUGUGCCAUUUCUGUGAAUUUUGGGGUGUCUGUGCCUCAGCAUUUUGUGCCAUUUCUGUGAAUUUUGGGGUGUCUGUGCCUCAACAUUUGGGGAUAUUUCUCUGAAUUUUGGGGUGUCUGUGCCUCAAGGGGACGCACAGGAUUGAUGCUGGAUGGGACUGGGAGGGACUGGGAGAGACUGGGAGCACACUGGGAGGGACCGGGGGGGCACAGGAUUGAUACUGGGUGGGACUGGGAGCACACUGGGAGGGACUGGGAGGCACUGGGAGGGACUGGGAGGCACUGGGAGCAGUGCAAGGCACUGGGUGGGGACUGGGAUGGACUGGGAUGGACUGGGGAGUGUCGGGAGGGGCUGGAGGAGCACUGGGCUGGGAAAAUGGGCAAACUGGGAGGGUGUUGGGGGGACUGGGAUGGAGUGGGUGGCACUGGGAAAUACUGGGGGAAACUGGGAGGGACUGGGAGGGUAACGGGUGGGCUGGGAAUACACUGGGAUGGACUGGGGAGAUACUGGGAGGGACUGGGAGGGAUGGCAGCUUACGGGGAGAGACUGGAGGGGUGCUGGGAAGGACUGGGAGGAACUGGGGAUACUGGAAAGGACUGGGAGAAACUGGAAAUGACUCGGUGGUUACUGGGAUGACAAUGUGAUGGACUGGGAUGAACUGGGAUGAACUGGGAUGAACUGGGAUGAACUGGGAGCUCAACAGGCUGCUGGUGGAUGGGAUGCGGUGUCCCAGUGGAAGCUGGGAGCGGGCUACGCCCAUACUGGGAGCACUGGGAGCAGACUGGGGAUACUGGAAAGGACUGGGGGAAGCCGGGAAUAACUCGGUGCUUACUGGGAUGGACCGGGAUGGACUGGGAUGAACUGGGAUGUACUGGGAUGGACUGGGAUGGACUGGGAUGGACUGGGAUGAACCUGGAUGAACCUGGAUGUCCUGGAUGAACCGGGAUGAACUGGGAUGGACUGGGAUGAACCUGGAUGGACUGGGAUUAACUGGGAUGG
rnacentral:lncRNA from 12 species